rnacentral:rRNA from 1 species
AAGCAUAUCAAUAAGCGGAGGAAAAGAAACCAACAGGGAUUGCCCUAGUAACGGCGAGUGAAGCGGCAACAGCUCAAAUUUGAAAUCUGGCGCAAGCCCGAGUUGUAAUUUGUAGAGGAUGCUUCUAGGUAGCGACCGGUCUAAGUUCCUUGGAACAGGACGUCAUAGAGGGUGAGAAUCCCGUAUGUGACCGGCCCGCACCUUCUACGUAGCUCCUUCGAAGAGUCGAGUUGUUUGGGAAUGCAGCUCUAAAUGGGAGGUAAAUUUCUUCUAAAGCUAAAUACCGGCCAGAGACCGAUAGCGCACAAGUAGAGUGAUCGAAAGAUGAAAAGCACUUUGGAAAGAGAGUUAAAAAGCACGUGAAAUUGUUGAAAGGGAAGCGCUUACAACCAGACUUCUGGGCGGUGUUCCGCCGGUCUUUUGACCGGUCUACUCUCCGUCCCGAGGCCAACAUCAUCUGGGACCGCUGGAUAAGACCUUAGGAAUGUAGCUCCCCUCGGGGAGUGUUAUAGCCUCUGGUGAUGCAGCGCGUCCCGGGUGAGGUCCGCGCUUCGGCAAGGAUGUUGGCGUAAUGGUUGUCAGCGGCCCGUCUUGAAACACGGACCAAGGAGUCUAACAUCUAUGCGAGUGUUCGGGUGUCAAACCCCUACGCGUAAUGAAAGUGAACGGAGGUGGGAAGCGCAAGCUGCACCAUCGACCGAUCCUGAUGUCCUCGGAUGGAUUUGAGUAAGAGCAUAGCUGUUGGGACCCGAAAGAUGGUGAACUAUGCCUGAAUAGGGUGAAGCCAGAGGAAACUCUGGUGGAGGCUCGCAGCGGUUCUGACGUGCAAAUCGAUCGUCAAAUUUGGGUAUAGGGGCGAAA